UAGAGUGGUGAUGUAGGCUUUUAAACAGCUAAUUUUCAGCUGAAGGUAUAAUUCAGUUUACCUGAAAUGGUAACCAAAGACAUUGCUUUCAGCUUCAAGGAUGUUUGCUGGCUAACACUGCCCCUGAUGGGAAGUAGUUUAAUUUGUCUCUUAGAGACCUGUUCGCUGUCAUUCAGCAUGGUUAGGAUUGUAAAGAGUGUACAUAUACAUUUUGUUUUGGUUAUCACACACUGUCGUGAUUUUCAGUGUCAUUUUAGCUGAAAGCAGUGGGUUUUUCAUGUGGUCCAGCAGGACUUCCUGUCAGCAGCUACUCAGGGAGGCCCGGGCAUCUGUCAAACCUGUUCCUCCAGUGUGGGCUUCAUGGAGCUGAGCACAGGAACCCCGCACAGCUGGCCUCAGAGGAGGUGACCAGUGCUUGAUAUCAACAUCUGGAGUUGUCAGGUCUCUGGAUUUUCAGGAGCAGGGCCGAGGCCUGUGCAGCUGGGAAGUAGCUGGGCUCAACUUGGACCACAGAACUCCAGACAGCAAAGCAGAGUCCUAUGCAGGGCCAUGUAGCCUUCCUGCCCGCACCCCGCCAGCCGAAUCAUAUCACAUUGGCACCUGACACAUUCCACCUGGCCAGAAGUUGACACCUAAAGCUGCCCGUGAAAUCAUAUUUACAGAAUUGUGCAAGGAGAUUAAAUAUUUUUUUCCA